CACCCACAGAUCACUCUGGAGCCGAAAAGCCCAGUCGCAGAGACAGCAAAGAAAAAUGAAAAGCCCCACGUUUGAAACUCAGGAACAGACGAUACGCGGAAAAUUACUUACAUUAAGCUGUGGGAAUAAUCAAACAAAAGAGCAUAAACUUCAAAGGCAGUACUUCAUAUCCUUAAAACUGAGGAGGCUGAGGAGAGGAAGAAAUGAAUGAGAUGUCUGUGUAGUGCCAGCCAAGGAACUGCAUAUUCUGCAAGGUCACUGAAUGCAUGCUUGACUCUGAAGUAGUUUGGACAAUGAUUUGAAGCGGAUUAAUGUCAGUAAGCUCUUAUCUGUGAUAAUGCUUAGCUUUGUAUUUUGUACAUGUGCAUCGCGCGGUUACAUUGCAUGCAUCGGACAUAUUGUGCCGUGUUUGUGAUUUGCUAUCUUUCAAUCUUGGGGAAAAAAAUAGGUGAGCUAGGUACUUUUCCAGAAAUUGAAUUUGGGAUUGUUCCCUGCUAAUUCAUGUUGUUAAUUAGCUACAGCAGGUAGCCAAUAAAGCAGCAUAAAUGAUUGCAGGUUCCUUAGGAAAUGUGCCAAUACGAACGCAAAUACUGAUUCAGAUGUGGAAUUUUCACAGUGCCUCCCGGUGAAACUCAUUCAUUAAGAAGUAAAAGCUAGGAGACAUAAACGUGAGAUGCUUGCAGCCUGCUGAUGGACGUUUUGCAACAGGGAGAAUGCUGGAUCACUAAUCAUUCCCUUGGCAUAUCAGCAACGCACAUGCCACCCAAUGGGAAGGGUGGGCAGAUUUCUGCCUGGCUGAGUGCAGCGGUGCUGCUUGCAGCCCCCAAGCCCCAGCAGUGAUUUCCCAACCCGCAGGAAGUGCUGCUAGCUCGUACCUCUGGCCUGCCACUGAAUGGAUUGCCAGCAUGAGGCACGGAGCCUCUGGGAGCUGUGCGGGAGGUGAAUGCAAAAGCAAGCACAGAAGACAGUCAGGCUCCUGCAGACUUCAACAGGCACGCUUCCCUUCCCACAGAAGAAAAAGCUGUUACUACAUAGAGGCAGCGUUAGAAAAAUCACACAGAACACAAAGGGAAAUCUGCCUCUGGAUUUUUAGGUAAGCUGAGGGGAAUCUCUGCAGCCUUUUCCCCUCCUUUACUUUUCCUUUUCUAAUACUAGUGCCACAGAGGACUGUGUCUGUGUGCAUGAAAUUAGCGCUGCUCUUUAAAUACUUUUCUCCCCUCAACACUGCUCCAGUUCCUGGUUCAGUUUUGAAUGGAGAUCUUAAGUGAAAGCAGCAAAACACCAACUGGCUGGAAAAUUGGCCAUGAAGGAGAGCAGUUAUUAGGAAACAGAUGCUUCAGCUGAGAGGAAGCAGGAUAUGGGAGGCCUUCCAAAAGUGGGUUACCAAGGGGCCUUAGAGACAGACAAGUACCAAAAGCAUCAGUUAUCCACUUGAACAUUUGCAUGUGCUUGCUUAGGGCUUUGAAUGGCCUGCAACCACAAGGCUGGGAUUUGGGUUCCUCUCUGCAGCCUCUGAGAUUUCCACACAUUGCUCAGCUGCUUUUCUCCAGGUCUUGGGAGUGUCAGGACUAGAGAAGCAAGUUGUCAGUGGGUGAUCAUUCACACCAGACACAUCCCCAGUGUGCCUGGGAGAUGCAUGUGCCUGUUCUGUGUCCAUGGGUAAUCACAGGACUUCGUGCACAAGCAGAUCCACCUGGCUCCCUUCAAAAGACAAAUAGCAUAUCAAAGCAAAUUUUUAUCAUCAUUGUUACACUCUCCAGCCCCCCUGUGAGAAGAUUUUAAUGCUAUCAUUUCAGGGAUAAAAUACAUUUUUUUUUUUUUUGUGAAAGCAAAAUUCUGUCCUGCCUUUUAUUUAUUUAGAGCAAUGCUAAUGACUGUAACUGUAUGUCCUCUGUAUGUCCCCUUAGUGGAAACUAUAUAAAAGCAACUCCACUCUUUGGGCUUCAAUCUAGUCAAUAGUAUUAUAGAAUCAUAGAAUAGCUUGGAUUGGAAGGAGUCCCAAGGACCAUCAAGUUCCAACCCCCAUGUCACAGGCAGGUGCACAAACUUCCAGAUCUGUCACUAGACCGGGUUGCCCAGGGCCCCAUCCAAUCUGGUCUUGAACAUCU